ensembl:lncRNA
GUGUGUGUGUGUGUGUGUGUGUGUGUGUGUGUGUGUGUGUGUGUGUGUGUGUGUGUGCAGUGAGGUCUUCAGCUGAGGCUUCUCACGGUACAGAGGGCGGAAAGGGAAAAAAGAAGGAUUGAGUCGGGAGAAGAUUGUAUCAAAAUAAGAGAACCCCAAAGCUGCCUGUAAGGGACUAAGACUUAAGCAAUAAACAUUUUUCACCACGUCUAUUCACCACACAAGAUUUAUUAAUAUGCGCUGUGCCUUAAUAUCACAACAUUCUUCUACAUCUGUAAAUACAAACAUGUCUUAUUUUAUAGAGAGCUUAAGUGAUACCACAUACUUUACUCACACACGGAUCUGUGCAAAGAAGAUGUUCUAAAAACACUUGAUGAGUACGAUUGGUGCAAUAUUCUGUAAACACUUUAAAACCGCUGCUGGAAUACAAGCCAAAUGCAACUGUGAAAAGCAUUCUGCAAGGACUUGAGGAAAGGGCAACUCUAAACAGUCAGGAUGAACAGCACCCUUUCCUUUAUACCCUGCAUUAGGGAUUUUAAAGGAUCAUGUUCCCAUAGAUUACUUUUAGAUUUUGUAGGUGUCAUGAAGCCUGAAUACUGCCAUAUAUCUACGUUUCUAUCUGUACUACACAUUAUACAGUUACAUUACAGGUAAUUUAAGCUGACGCUUUUAUCCAAAGCGACUUACAUUGUAUUUUUACGCAUGGCUUUUACAUUUUUGCCCGGGGAGCAAUUAGGGGUUAGGUGUCUUGCUCAGGGACACUUCGACAUGGGACAUGGAGCAGCCGGGGCUCGAACCACUCUCUACCCCUGCGCUACGUUGACACUAAUUACAGCCUUCUUUUAAUUAACAGGAGUGACAGUGGUUAAUUUUGAGUAAACUGUUGAGUGUGUGAAACACUGAUUAGCACUACUGUAGUCAAAUCCAGAUGCAUACAGAUGAUAAGAUGCAAAAGCUUGGUCAUCCCAACAGCAGUCACUGGCAGGUUGAGGAGGCAGAUGAUCCAAGUACUGGUACGCCGUCUUGCUGUUCCAUGAAGCCAUUUAGUGCUGCUGUUGAUGACACGGUCUCCCUGGCGUUUCCAUCUCUAAACUCAGAAGGACAAGCAGAGUGCCUUACGUACAUCUCACGUCUGGCCUCGCAAUAAUCACGUGAUUUCAUUUUUCUUGAGAUCAAGACGUAAUUUUUUGUUAUCUCGAGACAAGAAAGCUUGCUUUCCUGUGUCAAGUUAAGUUAUGCAAAUUCAGAAAGAAAAGGCAUGUCUAAAGAUAAUUUGAUGAUUUCUCCCAACGAGAUGAAUUGCUUUCUGGAGAUAAUUAUGGAGAACCCAUAAAGUAGUUAAUUUGAUCACACAAGCCCAGAGAGGCAACACUGCCAGCAGUUUAAAUAUUUUUAAUUAGUUGUUAUCUUGAGAUAACAAAUCUUAUUUUCACAUGAUACCGAGUUUCAUGGAUUCUGGAAAAAACAGAAGGCAGAUUUGUCCUUCCAAGAUUUUCUUGGAAGGACAAAACAAUUAUUGGGUCCUAAAAAUGAGUUUUUUUUAUCACACAGUUCAGUUGUAAUUAACGCUUUAACUUAUCUAUUUCCGGCCAGGCUAUUCUCCUCAAUGUUAACGGAUCCAAAAUAUAUCUCUAACAGAAAGACACAUUUCAGAAGUAAUGAUAGGAAUUUGCAUUUUGCUAAGCUGGUUUCCUCAUAAUAAAUAUUAACUUGUGAGCUUGAGAUUAUGGAACAGACAGUAGUGCAAGCACAACCUUUCUCCUUCUCUGUAGGAGAUCACCUGGUGGAUGUAUUUUUUUGUAAUUAUUAGUUAUACAUGCUGUGUCACCAAAGCUUUAAAAGGUGAUUUUAUUUGUGUAGGACGUGAUGUAUGUUGGACCUUUUCAUCUGUUUCUUUCUCUGUUCUAAACUAAUUUUAUGAUCUUGUUUGAUUCUGCUAACCUAGUGUACAGAAUAAAGUUUUACUCACUACAACAAUGCUUUUUGUUUUUUUCUUUUUUAAAUAGAAUGGGACUCUAUUUUAGUUAUGGAGGCCACCAUGUUUCAUAUGUUCAAAAACACAAGUGCGUGAUGAGCCAUCCCGGGGAUACAGAGUCGACCAAAGCUUUGUCAAAAAAAUCAUUUCCAAGAUGUGUGCAGUGAGAAAGAAGGUUUGUGUGAGUCAGGGUUUACAGAGAAUGGUCCCAAAAAGGAAAUAUCCAGUUAGCGUAUGAGUGAGUUGUAUGGACAGAAAUGCCUUGCUGGUGUUAGAGGAGAAUGGGCAGACUGGUUUGAGAUGAUAGAAAGGCCCCAGUAACUCAAAUAACCACUUGUCACAACCAGGGAAUGCAGAAUAGCAUCUCUGAACUCACAACAAGUGGAACCUUGAAGAUGGGCUACAGCAGAAGAAGACCACACUGGGUAUCACUCCUGUCAGCUAACAACAGGAAACUGAGACUACAAUUCUCACAGGCUCACCACAAUGAGACAAUAGAAGAUUCUAAACAACAUUGCCUGAUCUGAUGAGUGUUGAUUUCAGCAGCGACAUUAAAAUAGUAGGGUCAGAAUGUUGGCGUAAACAACAUUAAGGCAUGGAUCCAUCCUGCCUUGUAUUAACUGUUCAGGUUGCUGGUGGUGGUGGGGGUUAUUUUCUUGGCACACUUUGGGCCCCUUAGUACCAAUUGAGAAUACUUUUAUCUAGAAGCAUAUCACCAUUUUAUUUGAGCUGCUUGUUCAUUUGAUUAAUUUCAAGAUGAGACUUGUUUAACUAUUUAUUUAGGUAUUUCAUUAAUGCUUUUCUCUCUGUAAAGUACUUUUGAUUUCCCUGUUUAUAAUAACAAUGUCAAUUCUAAUAAUAACCUUCAUACUGUACCACAAUAGAGAGUUUCAAUGUUUAUCCCUGUUUUGUGUGGACAGGUAUUUCCUAACUUGAUAUCAAUAAAAAUGAUUGUAAAAAAAAAAAGCUAAAUGAAUAGCAGGACACAUUGGAAACAUGUCUUUUUUCCUUUGUUGUUUUCCCAUUCACCUGUGUUUCUUCCUACACUACAGCAUUUCCGAAGAACAGAUCAGACCCACAGCGCGAAGCCAUGCUCCUACCAUCCCACAGAUGUGUGUUACGUGUCAGGCUGGGGCAAGACACCUUUCCCCCAUCCUGCCUGUGGAUUUCUCUUGGCUUGGUCUCUGUCCUGUUCCAGGUGCAAUCAAGGUGGAACUGCACUGUUUUGCAAACGGCAUGUUUUAAUAUGCCGUGGGACAUGCCGAAACUGUAAAUAAAGGCACUAUUUUCCAUACUGUCAGAAGUGGGUGUUUAGCACUGAUGUCCUUUGCACACAUCUUUAUUACCUGCCUCAUUUCUUUGAAAAUACGAACUUCUAAAACUUCUUUCCUCCAAGUAUGUAAGUAGAGUUCUUAACAGACUAACAGACUCAUGCCAUCAGGAAAAUACAUCCAAAACUACUUACCGUUAUCAGUUUUCUGUGUCGGAAGGGUCUCAAUAAAUCUCCACAGGGAGCGAAGAGUUCGUCGCCACUAGCUCACAUCCCAGCUCUGUGGCUCUCGCUAUCUGUCCAGCCUUUGUUCUUCCCCUCACUCCAUCUACUCUGCGUUUACUCCCCGAUUCAAACCACAGAGACGCCUCUUUUUCACCUCAAACAAUCUCUGCUUACUUUCAGAUAGCCGGGACUAAACUCUUAAUUCUACACCUUUAAACCUUUUAUAACGAGAUAUUGGCAGAGGUCGAGAGCCAUGAACUUGCUCAUGCAGAGUUUUUUCUUACGUUAUAAAAUAAAAAGAGUUUGUUUUAAUCGACCUGCCUUCGACACAAUGAGCACAACGAUUAUUUUCAACAUUGACCUUUUUUCUACAUUUGAUUGUCUAUAAAGUUUUGUCUAUAAACGAUUAUGUACAGAUUUAUUUAAAUCAAUAGUUUCUUUCAAACCUUUGAGUUCACACACAACCUUGUACAUUCAAAAUAAAACAACCAUCUGCCGG